CCUGUUUGUGUCACUGUUAAAACCACAGUAUCAGUGUCAAGUAUUCAAGUCAAUUGGUCUCCAGAGAAAUCUGAUUAUUGGUCUCCAGAGAAAACAGCCUAGAAUCUUGUUGGUGAAUUUUUUUUAUUAGGUAACAUCAAAGUAAUGUUAGUUAACGUAAUGGUAACAUGUAAGAUAACAUUCAGGUGGCAUAAUAACUGUAAUAUUCAUCGUGACCUGGUUGAUUGGGAUGGAGAAUUGGGGGGGCGAGGGGUGACAUAGAGAGAGGUGGGGCUGGGAUCGGUGGGGGGGGGUUGCAUUUGGGGAGAGGUGGGGCUGGGUUAAUGGGGUGUUGACAUAGAGAGAGGUGGGGCUGGGUUCGGGGGGGGUUGACAUAGAGAGAGGUGGGGCUGGGUUUAGGGGGGAGGGGUUGACAUAGAGAGAGGUGGGGCUGGGUUCGGGGGGUGGGUUGGACAUAGAGAGAGGUGGGGCUGGGUUUAGGGGGGAGGGGUUGACAUAGAGAGAGGUGGGGCUGGGUUCGGGGGGUGGGUUGGACAUAGAGAGAGGUGGGGCUGGGCUCGGAGGGAGGGGUUGACAUAGACAGAGGUGGGGCUGGGUUCGGGGGGUUCUGUCGUCUUCCUCUUCACACAUAUAAGCUUCUGUACUCUCUCCCACUG
ensembl:lncRNA